UACAGAGGUCCCAAGCGUUGUUCGGAUUCACUGGGCGUAAAGGGUGCGUAGGUGGCUUGGUAAGUUUGAUGUGAAAUCUCCGGGCUUAACCCGGAAAAGGCAUUGAAUACUGUUGAGCUGGAGGUUUGGAGGGGGGACUGGAAUUCUCGGUGUAGCAGUGAAAUGCGUAGAUAUCGAGAGGAACACCAGUGGCGAAGGCGAGUCCCUGGACAACACCUGACACUGAGGCACGAAAGCCGGGGGAGCAAACAGG
rnacentral:rRNA from 1 species